AAGGAGAUCAUCGAGAGAUACAGUCGCAGCAACUCCAACAACGGCCUCCAUCUCAACCGUUGUCGGCCUCCAUCUCAACCGUUGUCGACCUCCAGCGCAAUAGGAAGUAGAUUUUGUUUUCCUUCAGCUAAAGCUCUGUGUUCACUGCAGAGCUAGAGAAGUAACUUCUAAUUUUAGUAUUAUUUUAAUUAUGUUAUUUAAUGUAUGGAAACUCAGUCUUAUCUACAUGUAGUUCGAACUCUGUAAUUGUAGAUUGUGAAAAUACUAUGUAAGAAUAGGUUAAUCGAUGAACUUAUGUUGAUGGAUUGGAUUUUAUCCAAUUAGCUCAUAUGAUGAGUGUUGUGUGAUAAA